rnacentral:rRNA from 1 species
CUACCCGGGUAUCUAAUCCUGUUUGCUCCCCACGCUUUCGCGCCUCAGCGUCAAUAGUCGUCCAGGCAGGCGCCUUCGCCUCCGGUGUUCCUUCACAUCUCUACGGAUUUUACCCCUACACGUGAAAUUCCCCUGCCCCCUCCGACAUUCUAGACUAAUAGUUUCAGGCGCAGUUUCGAGGUUGAGCCUCGAGAUUUCACACCUGACUUAUCAAUCCGCCUGCGCGCGCUUUACGCCCAAUGAUUCCGAAUAACGCUUGCACCCUUCGUAUUACCGCGGCGGCUGGCAC